UACAGGGUAGCAAUAUUCUGUAGUCGGAGCGGCGCAAGGGUGCGUAACACGUGGGUAAUCUGCCAAAAAGUUUGGGAUAACUUGCUGAAAGGCGAGCUAAUACCGGAUGUGACCGUCGGGAGGCAUCUCCUGAUCGUUAAAGUUGGGGACCGUAAGGCCUGACGCUUUUUGAUGAACCCGCGGCCUAUCAGCUAGUUGGUGAGGUAACGGCCCACCAAGGCUAAGACGGGUAGCUGGUCUGAGAGGACGACCAGCCACACUGGAACUGAGACACGGUCCAGACACCUACGGGUGGCAGCAGUCGAGAAUUUUUCACAAUGGGCGCAAGCCUGAUGGAGCGACGCCGCGUGGGGGAUGAAUGGCUUCGGCCCGUAAACCCCUGUCAUUCGCGAUCAAACCUUGGUAUUUAAAAGAUGCCGAGCUGAUAGUAGCGGAAGAGGAAGGGACGGCUAACUCUGUGCCAGCAGCCGCGGUAAUACAGAGGUCCCAAGCGUUGUUCGGAUUCACUGGGCGUAAAGGGUGCGUAGGUGGCGAGGUAAGUCGGAUGUGAAAGCUCGGAGCUCAACUCCGAAAUGGCAUUGGAAACUACCUUGCUCGAGGGUUGGAAGGGGGACUGGAAUUCACGGUGUAGCA
rnacentral:rRNA from 1 species